CCCAAUUCAGUCAACUGGAAAAACAUCUACAUCCACAUUUGUCCUUUUCCCAUUGAUUUAAAAUGACUUUGAAUGUAUGAAAAGUGACCAGUUCCUUUAGUUUAAUGUCCUUUUGUAGGUUAAUUUAGAUACUGAAAC